CAGUUGUCUUCAGUUUGCUCCGUGUCUAAGUUUCUACCUCUGUCUACGCCAACACAACCUGCUACCUUUGUCAUUUUAAAGGUGCGUCUUUCGCGUGCGACCACCUUGGCAGUAGAAGAGAGUUGAAAGGACUGAAGUUGUGGACUGACUAAACAGACCUUUGUUUGAUUUAUUGGAGAUCUCUCUGUUCAACAAUAAUGACCGACAGGAGAAGAGAGUGAGAAGGAGGAGGGGAAAGAUAAGUGUCAAUCUGUUGAGACUUGUUUGGGAAUUUGAGGAAGGAGGAAGGUCGGGAGCGACUGAGAAAGAGGCAGGAAGAGGGAAGAGCAAGGAGAGCUCUGCUGUAAACAGAGUUUUUGUUUUUUUAGAAGAGUUAAAGGAUUGAGAGAAAAGAAAAAUCACAGUUAAGAUUUGUUCAACAAAAGGAACACGGUUGUUAUCUCACCUAGACAAUGUGAAUACCUGGAAUGAAUUCUUGUGGGUUGUGCUUUUGAGCUGAGCUGGACUGGAGGGGAGAGACUGGAUCUCCACAGGACACCACAUUCAGGAUCUCCAAACUAUGGGACUAUGGGGACUAAAAGACCCAGCUGCACCAUCUCUGACACUUUAUCUAACAUAAACACAUCUGACCGCAAGCUUCAGCCAGGUGGAAAACUCUCCUGGGAUCCAAGUCCCAGACCAGUAAAGACUACCCAGUCGGAGCGAGAGA